rnacentral:tRNA from 2 species
AUUUUAUUAAUAUAAAUUAGUAUAUUUGAUUUCCAAUCAAAAAGUUUAAAAUUUAAAUAAAAUA